GCCCGCUUGGCUCAGUGGUAAGGCGUCUCACUCGUAAUGAGAAGAUCGUAGGUUCGAUUCCUGCAGUGGGCA
rnacentral:tRNA from 1 species